rnacentral:rRNA from 1 species
GGUGAACGCUAGCGGGAGGCCUAACACAUGCAAGCCGAGCGGUAUUUGUUCUUCGGAACAGAGAGAGCGGCGCACGGGUGCGGAACACGUGUGCAACCUGCCUUUAUCUGGGGGAUAGCCUUUCGAAAGGAAGAUUAAUACCCCAUAAUAUAUUGAGUGGCAUCAUUUGAUAUUGAAAACUCCGGUGGAUAGAGAUGGGCACGCGCAAGAUUAGAUAGUUGGUGAGGUAACGGCUCACCAAGUCAAUGAUCUUUAGGGGGCCUGAGAGGGUGAUCCCCCACACUGGUACUGAGACACGGACCAGACUCCUACGGGAGGCAGCAGUGAGGAAUAUUGGACAAGGGGUUAGCGCCUGAUCCAGCCAUCCCGCGUGAAGGACGACGGCCCUAUGGGUUGUAAACUUCUUUUGUAUAGGGAUAAACCUACUCUCGGGAGAGUAGCUGAAGGUACUAUACGAAUAAGCACCGGCUAACUCCGUG